AACGAACGCUGGCGGCAUGCCUAACACAUGCAAGUCGAACGAGACCUUCGGGUCUAGUGGCGCACGGGUGCGUAACGCGUGGGAACCUGCCCUUAGGUUCGGAAUAACUCCCCGAAAGGGGUGCUAAUACCGGAUAAUGUCUUCGGACCAAACAUUUAUCGCCUUUGGUUGGGCCCGCGUUGGAUUAGCUAGUUGGUAGGGUAAAAGCCUACCAAGGCGACGAUCCAUAGCUGGGUUGAGAGGAUGAUCAGCCACACUGGGACUGAGACACGGCCCAGACUCCUACGGGAGGCAGCAGUGGGGAAUAUUGGACAAUGGGCGAAAGCCUGAUCCAGCAAUGCCGCGUGAGUGAUGAAGGCCUUAGGGUUGUAAAGCUCUUUUACCCGGGAUGAUAAUGACAGUACCGGGAGAAUAAGCCCCGGCUAACUCCGUG
rnacentral:rRNA from 1 species